rnacentral:lncRNA from 1 species
CUCAACAUUUACUGUCCCUAGCAUAAUGACCACCCCCAAUGAGCCUCGCAUCGAAGGUUCUUUAUCUAGCUUUAAACGCCAACUUUUCUGCCUCUCAAAGUUGAGCCAUGAUAUCCUUCAACUUCCCAUUUCCUUCUCUAGCACUCCUGAUAUGUUUUUUCUGUUUCAACGGUGACGAAGCAUUACCCUCUUGUCCAACCCUACCUCAUUGUCUCAUAACCCCAUGUCCCCUUACGACCACUCCUGACUAUAAACACUAUCUCUCACUGUCUCCUUGGUUUUCCAGCUUCCUUCCCCUAUACUCUGGCCCUUCAAUCUUCAUGAUGGCGAGUUUCAUGCCAUUCAAGCUUGGAUUGCUGGACAUUCCUAGGUGUAUUCUAUCCUAAGUUUUAGUUCAAUGUUUGUUUUAAUGUGGUUUUAUGUUUUUAAAGACAUGAGGAACUAAUUUCUUUUUAGUUAAAGGUGAAUUUCGAAACCAUGAUUAUAUUUGCAGUAUGAAUUGACUAAUUCCAGUUGUGAUUUCAUAAAGUCUGAAUGCAAUUUGCUUAACUGUUUUAUUCAAAACUUAUUCUUGUAUGUUGAUUAAGGAGGCCUACUUAGUUUGCAUGCUUGAAUCUGAUGCUAGGAUAUAAGGGAGUUUCACAUAAUCGUUGCAAACUUAUAUUCACAAGUAGUGAAGGUCGCUAGUCACGAUCGCGUUAAGUUAAAUUCCUAGCAUGAGUAUCAUGAUGUCAUAGUUACGAAUGCUUUGUCAAUGCUUAUGAUUUUCAUAAAACUUAAUGAUCUUUGAUUGUAUCUCUAUUAUGAUGUGCAUGUAGGGGACUGUUGAAGAAUAAUUUGGGUUGAUGAUGCGUAUUCCAUCCAAUUCAAUGUCUUAAGGAAAAUCUGAGGGUUAAUUAGUGAUGACACGGUUAAUAUGGGGCAUUGUCAUUCAUGGUUUAUCGAAAAAGCAACUGGAGAUUGAUUUGUAUAUAAGUGUGUCAUGUGUGGAGAAGGACCCUCUAGCUAGCCCAUCAUCCAUUUAAUUCACCAAAUUCGUUCAACUUUGUUUAAGUCUUUAAUUCACUUGUUUUCACUUUAAUUUCGUCCAAAACCCAAUCCCCUUUACUUUAGUGUGUCAAAUUAGUUAGAAUCUGUCUCGGUUUGUGUUUUUUAGUGUUUUGAGUCAAGCUAAAAUUAAUUUUAGUCCAAAGUCAUUCCUAGUGUCUAGUUUGAGUCUAUUUAGUUGUUUUAAGCUGUUUUGAGUCUUUUAAGCCUGUUUUGAGUCAUUAGAGUCUAGUUAAGUGUUUUUAAGUUUAUUUUUGUGUUUUUGAGUCAGUUUAGAGUAGGUUAGCAACCCCUCCUAAUGCCCGGUCCAGAACGAUCCCUACUUACAUCUUUACUACAAUUGUCAAUAAGGGGGUUUAAUUUGUGUGUUAAGUUAAUUUUCGCAUCAGUGCUACCAUGGAAGAUAACAUGACCGACGAUUCAAAUAUAAGGCACAACUCAGGUUAUCAAACAAGAUCGAGUGUCCAUCUCUUAAAACCAUAGAAAUGGAAAUUAAGUUCUAUAUACAUGAAGGAAGACGCACAACCUUCUUGCCUAGUGUCCUGCUCUUUACUAACCCCUAUAACGAAUUCCAAUCAUGUUGAUUAGCACCUAAAUCAAAUAUCCAAGCAAAAGAGCUUAAUUGUGAAAGCACUUUCUACAACAGAAAUUGUCCAUUCAUAAAUUUUGUUUACGAGGCUCGCAAGAUGCACCCUAUAUUUCCUCUUCCAACGAUCAUCAUUUUCGCAAUGAAAGCAUGUCCCUUUGGAGUAUUUCACUUUUUUCUUAUGUAACCUUUUCCUCAUUACUGCAUUCUCGCUCCUACUGUUUAUUUUGAAACUUUGUUGAAAUUAACGCACAUGUCUAAUAACUCAGGAAGAGUAUGGUUGAAUCUAUUCACCUUGUAGUUUACUAUAAAUCUGUUGAAGUAAGGCAAGAGAGCUGCGAGGAAAAUGUCCUGGCCCAAUUUCCCAUUUGAACGGAGUUCCUAAAUUCUCAAGAUCUCAAAAGAUCCCGAUCAUCUUCAGUCCAUUGAUGUGAGAAUUACUUGACACACAAAUUUAACCCUCUUUUUGACAAUUGUAGUAUAGAUGUAAGUAGGGAUCGUUCUAAACCGGGGAUUAGG